GGUGCUCUGAGGGACCAGUCUGGGAAACACUGGUAUGGCAGCCUCAUGUAGACAGAGCUGAGCAGGGCCAGCCGGUGGCCGAGUGGUUAAGUUCGAGAGCUCUGCUUUGCCAGCCCGGGGUUUCCCAGUUUGGAUCCUGGGGGCAGAUGUGGCACUGCUCAUCAGGCCAUGCUGAGGCCGCAUCCCACAUGGCACAACCAGAGGCACUCACAACUAGAUUAUACAACUAUGCACUGGGGGGUUUUGGGGAGAAGUAAAGAAAAAAAAGAUUGGCAACAGAUGUUAGCUCAGGUGCCAAUCUUAAAAAAAAAACUGAGCAAAACACGCAGGAUCUGAGAGUCUCUGCAGCAUGAUUUAAACAAACAAUAAACUUCCGUAUAUGUUUGUGUUUGAAAAAAGUCUGGCAGGAUGCAUCCCAGAACUUUAAUGGUGUUUGGGGUGUUGGGAUUACAGGUGACUUUUAUUUCCAUCUUUCCUUGUUUUCUUUGUUUAGCUUAUUUGGGUUUUCUAAACUGCCUUUCAUCACUGUGUACAAUUUUCAUAAUUGGUCAAAAAAGAAAAAGAAACAACUGUUAGGAAAGAAUGGAGGGACAGCUGAAGGCGUAUCCGCAGCUCUACCGCACCUAGAGGAGCAGGGCCUCCAGCCCGAGGAGCGGCCAGGCCCUUAUUUAGGCAGAGACGUCCCGAGCUCGCAUUCCAGUGGGAAUCCUCCCCGGCGCAUUCCUCCUGCAGCGCCGCCUCCUCCAGCUGCAGCCGCUCCCUCCUCCCAGGGCCUCCCUCUCCUUUGGUAGCCGCCGCGGCCGAGCCAGACUGCGCAUCUGGACCUCAUUAGGGGCCGCCAGCACCAAAGCCGACACAUCUGGCCGCCGCGAGGUUUAUAGAAAAAUCGCAGAGAUCGUACAGAGAGUUCCAGCAAACCUUUCAUCCAACUUCUCCCGAGGUUAACAUCUUGCAUAACCAGGGAUCCAAAUCCCGGCAAGCAUUUGUUCAUGGACUCAUCUGUUUUAGCACCUACUCUGUGUCAGGCUCAGAGGACGUAAAGAUAUUCGCUGAGCGCCUACUGUGCGCCAGGCCGUCGGCCAGGUACUGGAGACACAGCAGCGGACAAAAUAGACCCAGGACUGCCCGCACAAAGCUUUCUUCCCUGCGGGAAAGCAGACGUGGAAGUGAAACUGUGCUGGCUUUGGAGAUGCAGGUUGGGGACCGGGCCCAAGACCACUCCUCAGAGAUGACCACCUCCCUCUGGCGAUCCUGGAGUCUCCCCUGCCUGCCAGUUUUGAUCAGGGGUAGUUUGGGGACACAGCCUCUGGACGUGGCCCCCACUGGCCGGCCGGCUGGGAGGGCUCAGUGUUGUGACCAAAAUGCUGGGACUUCUCAGAGAAGAGUGGACAGCCCUCUCUACCCAACGAUAAAGGUCUGAUCAUCUUUGUCCGUGACAAACUGUCAUCUUUAAAAACAAAGUUUCAAAUUCGCCACCAGGAGCUGUUAUUCACAGGAUCAUCCAUGAAUCUUUGGGAAAAAAGAGAGAAACUUUUAGCAUUUGUGUUUUUCCAAAAGUAGCCCAUGUUUAUUGUUGAAAACACAGAUAGACGCAAAAGAAGAAAACAAAAUGAACGAUAAUCGGGCCUCCCAGAGAUAAUCGCUGUUAACGCUUUGGUUUCUACAUCUAUCUGCAUCUAUGGAUGUGUCGUAAUUGCCAUCUCCAUCUCCGCUUAUGCAGCUGAAUUCACUUUAAAGAUAAGAUUGUGCUGUACCAUUUCAUAACUUCUUAUCAACUACUAUAUCAGGAUCACUGGGCUCUGACUUGCUGUCUACACUGCCCCUUUCCACCACGGCAGAGUGUGCGAGUGCCGCAAGCUGUUCAACAGAUUUCCUAUUGUUGAAUAGUUGGGUUGGUUUACCAUUUUUAUGAUUUAAGAUGGAGCGGCAACACAGCCUUAUGGCCAAAUCUUUGCCACAAUUAUUUACUAAGGAUAAGUUCCUAGGAGUGAAAUUUCUGAGUUGAAGAGAAAGCACUAUUUAAAAGUUUUAAACUACUUAUUUUUGAGUAAAUAGUAUAUUCAAGAGUUUCGAAAUUUAAAAGGGAUCUCCUCACCUCUGUUCUCACGUCACCCAGUUCCCUCUCCAGAGGCAGUCACUAUUGCCAAUGUCUCCUGUUCUUCCCAGAGAUAUUUUGCACAUAUAUUCUAUAUAUGUCUACAGUAUCUGUGUAUGUAUAUAUACACAUAUACAAAAUACAGGCGUAUUCUCUAUAAAUAUGCCUAUGUACACAUGUACACACACAUAUAUAAAUAAUUUUCUUCACAGAUGGUAGUAUCCUCUAUAUGCUAUUCUGCACUUUGCAUUUUUCACUUAACAAAUUAUCUUGGAGAGUUCUCCAUGCCAGUACAUAAAGAUCUUCCUAAUUUUUUUUAACAGCUGUAUAGUAUUUCAUUAUAGUCAUGCGUCACUUAAUGAUGGGGAUACUUUCUGAGAAAUGUGUCGUUAGACAAUUUCGUCAUUGUGUGAACAUCAGAGAGUGCACUUACACAAACCUAGAUGGCACAGCCUACUACACACCUAGGCUCUAUGGUGCUAAUCUUACGGGACCACAUUAGUAUAUGAGGUCUGUCAUCGACUAAAAUGUUAUUACGUGGCGCUUGACUGUAUCUGCACAUACUGUAAUAUAUUUAAAUAGUCCCCUACUGAUGGACAUACGGUUGUGUAUUAAUUACAUAUGGCUGUGUAACAAAUUACCCCAAAACAUAGUGACAUAAAAUAACAAUAAAAAUUUAUUUUCUCUUAUGGUUUCUGUUGGUCAGAAAUCUGAGAAGGACUCAGCCA
rnacentral:lncRNA from 1 species